rnacentral:rRNA from 1 species
CGCGGCCUAUCAGCUUGUUGGUGGGGUAAUGGCCUACCAAGGCGACGACGGGUAGCCGGCCUGAGAGGGUGUCCGGCCACACUGGGACUGAGAUACGGCCCAGACUCCUACGGGAGGCAGCAGUGGGGAAUAUUGCACAAUGGGCGCAAGCCUGAUGCAGCGACGCCGCGUGGGGGAUGACGGCCUUCGGGUUGUAAACCUCUUUCAGUAGGGACGAAGCGCAAGUGACGGUACCUACAGAAGAAGCACCGGCCAACUACGUGCCAGCAGCCGCGGUAAUACGUAGGGUGCGAGCGUUGUCUGGAAUUACUGGGCGUAAAGAGCUCGUAGGUGGUUUGUCGCGUUGUUCGUGAAAUCUCACAGCUUAACUGUGAGCGUGCGGGCGAUACGGGCAGACUGGAGUACUGCAGGGGAGACUGGAAUUCCUGGUGUAGCGGUGGAAUGCGCAGAUAUCAGGAGGAACACCGGUGGCGAAGGCGGGUCUCUGGGCAGUAACUGACGCUGAGGAGCGAAAGCGUGGGGAGCGAACAGGAUUAGAUACCCUGGUAGUCCACGCCGUAAACGGUGGGUACUAGGUGUGGGUUUCCUUCCUUGGGAUCCGUGCCGUAGCUAACGCAUUAAGUACCCCGCCUGGGGA